AUCAAUAUUCAUUUGGUACCUUGCUAAUUUUUUUUUGCUCUUUUUUGUUGCUCUUAGCCUGGAUUAUGUGUUUAGCUUCAUCGUAUGUCUUGCCUUGACUUACCAAGUUGAUCACCAGUGUUGUGUGCCCGCUCAGCGUGAUCGCGGUUGUGAAUGCUAAUUUAUACUUUUAUACAGCGUAGAUGCAGUACUUUUACGUAUUGCAUCCACGCUGUGGCCGAGGACCUCACCUAAAAUGUAACUACAUGUCGUGGUGACGCAGACGCAAGAACUGAUUGGUCAGCUUGGCAGCACCACGACGACACCAAUGCACAAGUAUAAAUGCUCACAACAGCACAUAACCUACACUGCCAGCUACAGCAGCCUAUUGUACUAGUGAUAGCCAGAUAACGAAAAUAUAUCCUGGUUAUGUUAAACUUGCUACGUAGUAUGCUACCGGAUGUUUUAGAGCUCUCCCUGCUCCAACAGAGUUGAAAUAAAUGAUCAGCUUGUUAUCAAACAGCUUCAGGAGUUCCAAACAAGUUCAUUUGAAUGCAGGGUACUCCAGGAGAGGUUUAGAUCAAAUCAUCUCUCACCUGCCCACCAGCUGCCCUCAGUUUGUCUCGUUGGUUUUCACACCUGCUCCUUAUCAGCUAAUCAUCCUGCUGACCUGCUGCCUGCCUGUUCAACUGCACCUCUUCUUCUAAUCAAGCUUCCUGGAUCUAGCAAGCUCUCCCGGCGCUCCUGUAAGAUCAGAGAGUUCGGUUCUGCUGUGUGUCUGCUCCAAGCAGGACAUGCUGGAAGACAGCGGCUGCUAGAGGACAGCUGCAGUGGACAAGUUCUGGAGAAAACAGUGUGAACAGAAACACAUCGUUAAUAUCUAGCCUAUAGUGUGUGUGUGUGUGUGUGUGUGUGUGUGUGUGUGUGUGUGUGUGUGUCAUAUUUACACAUUUAAGCAGCCUAUAACAAAGUCUUAAGGCUGCUAGCAUAGAAAGAUAAUUGGUCUUAAAAACAAAUCUGUGUUAAACAGGUGCUUAUUUGUGUAGGGAAACGGUUAAAGUGUAUUUGUUUUGCGCUGUCUUUGUUAAAAUGUCUGUUGCCUCUGUGUUACCUGUCCAACUUCCUGUAAGAAUUCAUAUUUCAAUAAACCACUUAAAGUUA